rnacentral:rRNA from 1 species
GACGAACGCUGGCGGCGUGCUUAACACAUGCAAGUGGAGCGACGAACCGGGCUUCGGCCCGGGGCAAAGCCGCGAACGGGUGAGUAACACGUGGGUGACCUGCCCCGAUGACUGGGACAACCCGGGGAAACCCGGGCUAAUACCGGAUGUGCUCCUUGGCCUCCGGGCCUUUGAGGAAAGGUAGCUUCGGCCUCCGCAUCGGGCUGGGCACGCGGCCCAUUAGCUUGUUGGUGAGGUAACGGCUCACCAAGGCUGCGAUGGGUAGCUGGUCUGAGAGGACGAUCAGCCACACUGGGACUGAGACACGGCCCAGACUCCUACGGGAGGCAGCAGUGGGGAAUCUUGCGCAAUGCGCGAAAGCGUGACGCAGCAACGCCGUGUGAGGGAAGACGGCCUUCGGGUUGUAAACCUCUUUCAGUUGGGACGAAGCUACUCGGGUUAAUAGCCCAGAGGGUGACGGUACCUCCAGAAGAAGCCCCGGCUAACUACGUGCCAGCCGCCGCAGUAAGAC